CGACAACAUCUGGCACGCCUAAAAUCGUUAUGCAUUUGAGAAUAUAUGAUGAUGUUUAAAGCACUAUUUGCCACUUGAAGUACGGUUAAGGUACAAACUUACUGGGAUGCUUCAACUUAAACGAGAAUUGUCAAUACAUGUUUUUGUUGUUGUAUAUUAGUUAUAAGAAUUAGUAAGAAUUAGUAUAUCGGUUUGAA